UACGUAGGGGGCAAGCGUUGUCCGGAAUCAUUGGGCGUAAAGAGCGUGUAGGCGGUUCGGUAAGUCCGACGUGAAAGUCCAGGGCUCAACCCUGGAAAGCCGUUGGAUACUGCUGAGCUAGAGUCCCGGAAGGGGCGAGUGGAAUUCCUGGUGUAGCGGUGAAAUGCGCAGAUAUCAGGAGGAACACCAAUGGCGAAGGCAGCUCGCUGGGACGGUACUGACGCUGAGGCGCGACAGCGUGGGAGCAAACAGGAUUAGAAACC
rnacentral:rRNA from 1 species